rnacentral:miRNA from 1 species
CAAGGGUUUAAAACUCCAUAC